AUUGAACGCUGGCGGAAUGCUUUACACAUGCAAGUCGAACGGCAGCACGGGGGCAACCCUGGUGGCGAGUGGCGAACGGGUGAGUAAUACAUCGGAACGUGCCCAGUCGUGGGGGAUAACGUAGCGAAAGUUACGCUAAUACCGCAUACGAUCUACGGAUGAAAGCGGGGGAUCGCAAGACCUCGCGCGAUUGGAGCGGCCGAUGUCAGAUUAGGUAGUUGGUGGGGUAAAGGCUCACCAAGCCGACGAUCUGUAGCUGGUCUGAGAGGACGACCAGCCACACUGGGACUGAGACACGGCCCAGACUCCUACGGGAGGCAGCAGUGAGGAAUCUUGCGCAAUGGGCGAAAGCCUGACGCAGCGACGCCGCGUGGAGGAUGACGGUUUUCGGAUUGUAAACUCCUGUUAAGCGGGAAGAAAGCCUUGUUUCUAAUACAAGCAAGGUAUGACGGUACCGCUAGAGAAAGCACCGGCUAACUUCGUGCCAGCAGCC
rnacentral:rRNA from 1 species